rnacentral:rRNA from 1 species
GGACCCGACUGCUAUCGGAUUGAGAUUUAGCCACUCGAGUCGAACGUCCCCCUGUUGCGGGGGGCGUGGCGUACGGCUCAGUAACACGUAGUCAACCUGCCCUGGAGACACGGACAACCCCGGGAAACUGGGACUAAUCCGUGAUAGGUCACCUCAUCUGGAAGGAGAGAUGGCCCAAAGGGGCGCGCGGGCUUCUUCUGCGCGUUCGCUCCAGGAUGGGACUGCGACCGAUCAGGCUGUUGGCGGGGUAAAGGCCCACCAAACCUGUAACCGGUACGGGCCUUGAGAGAGGUGGCCCGGAGAUGGACACUGAGAAAAGGGUCCAGGUCCUACGGGGCGCAGCAGGCGCGAAACCUUCGCAAUGCGCGAAAGCGUGACGAGGUUAAUCCGAGUGAUUUCCGCUGAGGAGACCUUUUGUCGGCUGUAAAUAGGCCGGCGAAUAAGGGGAGGGCAAGCCUGGUGU